rnacentral:lncRNA from 1 species
CGGGCGGGCCCGGAUUUGCCGCCGCGCUUGGGAAGCCGCCACCGCCGCCGCUGCUGCAUGGCACUAGGCUCCCGGCGGGGCAGGUUCCGCAGCCGGCACCGCUCUGGCUAGGCGCACGGAGGCGCCUUGCUUAGUCUGACCCUUAUUUGGCCAGGCGUAAAACUUGUCCUGCCUAAAAGCCUACUGAGACCUCCUAACUGGUCUAAUCCGCGGGAGACGCCAAAGGCGGCGGCCGUUUGUGCGCACAGGAUUUUUCUUGGAGCUGUAGCAGUCUAGGAAGCCAGGGUGGAACUUUUGCUAAGCUCCCGUUGUAAGCCCAGAGCUGUAAUAACUGCUGAGACACAACCAGCAGUAUACAGGCUCCAGUUGGAAAUCGAGAACUUUCCAGGGCUGUCACCCAGGCUGGAGUGCAGUGGUGCCAUCACAGCUCACUGCAGCCUCGACCUCCUAGGCUAAAGUGAUCCUCCCAACUCAGCCUCCCGUAGCUGGGACUACAGGAAUGUGCCACGCCCAGGUCUAUCCAGCUGAAGUCAAAAAUGCCCCUCUCAGGCUGCCCCCAGUGACUCCAGUUUCCUAGCAGAGCCUAACCAGAUGGUAAACUCCUGCAAAGCAGAUUGUUUGGUUCUUCUUCCUUCACGGUGCCUGACCCAUCGUUCUGCAGAUAUUAGGAACUUUCUCCAAACCACCAAGCUUCCAACUGAGGUACAUGGGUCCUUGGAUGUGCAAGAAGGUGUACCAUGCACAUUGAGAGUUUAAACAAGUCCAUUUCCGGAUCCACAACACCCAUAUGAAUUUUUCCUCCAGAUGACCUCCCUCAGGAACAUGUCUGCAG